AUCUAUCUAGUGUUCACGCGUAUCUGGCCCCACCUUAUUCCAUCCCGAACUAAGAAGUGAAACAGAUACGGCGCAACGAUACUUGAAGGGGAGCCUUCUGGAAAAAUAGCGUAAUGCUAGAUAGAU
rnacentral:rRNA from 1 species